ACAAAAUGUAAUUUAUCCCAAAAUAUCUCGCUUACACCGAGAAUAAACUUGCUACACCAAGUCAUUUUGA
rnacentral:tRNA from 1 species